rnacentral:rRNA from 1 species
GGGGAGCAAACAGGAUUAGAUACCCUGGUAGUCCACGCCGUAAACGAUGUCUACUUGGAGGUUGUGGCCUUGAGCCGUGGCUUUCGGAGCUAACGCGUUAAGUAGACCGCCUGGGGAGUACGGUCGCAAGAUUAAAACUCAAAUGAAUUGACGGGGGCCCGCACAAGCGGUGGAGCAUGUGGUUUAAUUCGAUGCAACGCGAAGAACCUUACCUACUCUUGACAUCCAGAGAAC